rnacentral:tRNA from 1 species
GGAAGUGUAAAAGUCUCUGGUGUGCUUCCUGGAUUUCAAAUCCAGCGACAGACCCGGUUUAAGCUAGGCCUGUGGUGGGUUCGAUUCCCAUACACUUCCGCCA